rnacentral:lncRNA from 1 species
ACUGUGCUUCUGAUGACCCGGCCGCCGCCGCCGCCCUGCAACCGCUCCCCGGGACCCCUCAACGCUGACACUGAUGACCCGCGGCGGGGGCGCUGGGCGCGGGGUGCGCAGGCCACUGGCCGCGGGCUCUCGGGCCCGCUCCUGCCGCCGGCUUCUGCUGCUUCCGCGUGCCGUGGACACUGCCAGAAUUUGUCAAAGGUCCUAGGAAGAAAAGGCUCUUUCACCCCUCCCCUCAAUGAACAGAUGGCGUGUUUGGACUGUUCGCAUUCGCUCCUCAUAGGGACAAAUGAAUCUCUUCCCACGCCAUGGGAUUUCCCUUGAUUUUUAUAUUGGGAGUGAAAAGAUGAAGCAUGAGACUCUUCAGCUGCAUCUCGAACUGCAUCUAAUCCCAGCACAUCUCUCUCAAUCUUUGAUUAAGUCUGUUCAUCUAAAAGAGAGACACAGGGGAAAAAUGGAAAUGGGACUUUGGAAGAAUGACCAUCCACAUUCCCAUCACAGCCUGAGAUUUCCUACCUGAUUGAGAUUUUCAGUAGAUGGCCCUAGGUCUAGUUUCCCACUUUGGACCUGCUGCCCUUGGCUCCAAUAGAGGACUUCCAAGUAACUAGGAAGAUUUCACCUCUCUUUUGAAACAUAAUGGACAAAUGUGUUUCUUUAGGAUGAGAGGUGCACCUGGCUAGUCAAUCUUUAUUUUCCUAAAAUAAACAGGAUGAAAACUCAAAACAAAAAGAAAUACCUCAUGGGCAAAAGCUCUCCCAAUACAACUAAUACAGACACUCAACAUGGCUUUGUAGAAACUGACCCCUCUCCCAAGUCUUAUGUUUGUCAGAAUUGCAUGCCUAUUUCAAUCGAAGAAAAGUGAUCUGAUCUCUUCAGAUGAAGGUGGGACUUGGAGAUGCUGCUGCCUAGAGUUAACUUGCCAGAGAAAGGAUAAGCAUUCGGGAAGUGCCAGGAUGGGGUAUCAGCUGAACAAUGGCAGGAUCCCUUCUGCCAGUGGGCUGGCUCAGGGAGUAAACCUCCCCGGAAGGAAUUUUGUUUCUCUCUAGAAUCAAAGUGGGCAAAAUGAUCACCUUAUUCGCCUGGAGUGAACCAGGUUGAAACUGAGAAGGCAGACAUGGGUGAUAAGCCAGAUGAAGUCAUAUGUUAUAACUAAGCUAUGUACCUGUAACUUGCCUGGUAGUUUUUUCAUUCUCUCUAAACAGGUCAUAAUAAGUGUUAGUCUGUGAUCCACUAUGGAGAGAGAUUUCUGGAAAGAAUAGAGGCAGUGGUAGAGGGUCCAAGGUUGUUAUUUAAGGAGAUGAAUGUGGGUCAGGUGCCGUGGCUCACACCUGUAAUCCCAGCAUUUUGGGAGGCAGAGGCAGGAGGAUUGCUUAAGGCCAGAGUUCAAGACCAAACUGGCCAAUAUAGUGAGAUCCCCCCCCCAUCUCUACAAAAGAUAGAAAAACUUAGCCAGGCAUGGUGGCAGGUGCUAUAGUCCCUGCCACCAUGGGACUACAGCUCCUGCAGUCCCAGCUACUCAGGAGUUGAGGCGGAAGGAUUGCUUGAGCCCAGAAGUUCGAGGUUGCAGUGAGCCAUGAUCAUGCCACUGCACUCCUCCGUGGGUGACAGAGCGAGACCUGACUCAAUAAUAAUAAUAUUAAUAAUAAUGAUAAUGCAACACAAACUAUCUUUUACCUCUUGAACAAUGAAUGCAGAUGCCAUGACUACAUCUGUUUGUUGGGGACCAGGGAGGCUGCCAGUGAGGAUUCAGGGUGGAAGUAGUGUGUACCCAAUACCUAUUGUGAGAUGUGGCCUGGGGAGCCCUGAGAUUGCCUGGCCAGGCUCACUCACUACCCAGACACCCUCUUCCUGCAUGGCGAGUCCCUCAGCCCCUCCAAGGCUCAAUUCUCAGACAUCGGAGUAAUCCACAUCCUCCAUCUUGAGUUACUCCUCACAAGGCCUGCAAGUUUUCCUAGGAGGAAGGGAAGACAGGGUUGAACCCACACAAUUCUAGAAUCUAGAAUUUGGAGGAUUUCUAAACCAUUUCUGUAAGUCAGCCCUUGAGAACUUGUAGAUUUUCUCAUCAUUUGCAGCAUGAGAGUCUGGAGUAGACUGUUUGGAUUUGACUCUUGGUUCCUUGGGCAAGUUACUUAACCUCUCAGCUGUGUGUCAGUUUCCUUAUCUAAAAAGUGUGGUUAAUAAUAACUGACCUCUCAGAGGUAUUGUGAGGUUACUGUGAUGAUUAAAUUAGUUGAUUCAUAUAAAAUGUUUAAAAGAGUGCCUGGCAUUAUUAUUAAUAGUAAUAAGUUUAGCAUAAGUCUUGCCUGCCAAUAAGGAGCUGGAUUGAAUGACUACUUUGAUUCUAUUUCUUGGCCUUCUCUUCUCUGGACUAGGUGACCCCAACUUUCUCCUUACUCCUGAAAAAUUUAUCCCAGUCUGCUAAGGAAGAGAAAGCCCAUGUGUGCACAUACACACAUGCACCUACACAAACAUUUACAUACAGUUUUGCUCUUCUAUACAGAGUUAAUAGAGCUACUAGAGUGUCUAGGAACCAAUCUGAAAGAGAAAGGAAACACUGCUUUUUUUUUGUUUGUUUUUUGAGAUGGAGUCUCACUCUGUCACCAGGCUGGAGUGCAGUGGCGCAAUUGUGGCUCACUGCAAACUCCACUUCCCUAGUUCAAAUGAUUCUCCUGCCUCAGCCUCCCGAGUAGCUGGGACUACAGGCGUGCAUCACCACACCCAGCUAAUUUUUGUAUUUUUAGUAGAGAUGGGGUUUCACCAUGUUGGCUAGGAUGGUCUUGAUCUCUUGACCUCGUGAUCUGCCUGCCUCAGCCUCUCAAAGAGCUGGGAUUACAGGCAUGAGUCACCACGCCCGGCCGAAACACUGCUUAUUACAAUUUAUAGGUUUAUGUUCAAAAAGUUGCUAAUCUUAUUGCUGUGAACCCCUGCCAUCUCUAGUCCUGCCCACCUAUAGGUACUGCAGACCAAAUUACAGAUUCAGAUUUGCCCAGUUCCUGUUCCUGUCUUGACCAAUCCUAGUAACUUAUUUGGGGCCCAGCCCCAUCUUCAGUGGAAGGUCUAAAAUUGGCCUUGCUUCCUUAAGCUGGGUACACAGUGGGCCCAGGACUAAGCCUCAUGAAGCUUUUAGAGGCCCACUGAGAUUAACCUUUCUCACCAGUGCUCACCUUGUCUUCCUAGUGACCAUGGCUGCCUUCUGUCUAGUUCUAGAGUUGCACUCUAAUUCUCUUCCAGCGCUGUUGCCCUGAUCUACAUAUCUAUCUCUUUUAGAACUUUCCAGCUUAUGUGUCCAAUGUCAGUCUUUCUUCCAAAUAAAUAGAACUUUAUCUUG